AUUGAACGCUGGCGGCAUGCUUUACACAUGCAAGUCGAACGGUAACAGGUUAAGCUGACGAGUGGCGAGCGGGUGAGUAAUGCAUCGGAACGUGCCCGGUCGUGGGGGAUAACGCAGCGAAAGCUGCGCUAAUACCGCAUACGAUCUGAGGAUGAAAGCGGGGGACCGUAAGGCCUCGCGCGAUCGGAGCGGCCGAUGUCAGAUUAGGUAGUUGGUAGGGUAAAGGCUCACCAAGCCAACGAUCUGUAGCUGGUCUGAGAGGACGCCCAGCAACACUGGGACUGGGACACGGCCCAGACUCCUACGGGAGGCAGCAGUGGGGAAUUUUGGACAAUGGGCGAAAGCCUGAUCCAGCAAUGCCGCGUGCAGGAAGAAGGCCUUCGGGUUGUAAACUGCUUUUGUACGGAGCGGAAAGGUCUCCUCUAAUACAGGGGGCUCAUGACGGUACCGUAAGAAUAAGCACCGGCUAACUACGUGCCAGCAGCCGCCGUAA
rnacentral:rRNA from 1 species